CUGCGCAUACUGCUGCAUUUUCCCCUACCCCACCCCCGUCCCUGUCCUCGCCCCAUCCGCCGCUCCCGUGCGUGCGCGCGUGCGCGCGCGAACUAGGCGCCAGGCACUGGGAAAGGACGUCCGCGCUACUUUGUUGCCAUCGCAACGUCAGGCAGGGAGACAAAGCUUCCUGGAGGCUGAUUUGCUUGAUCUUCUGUGUAAGUGGCAGAGCCGAGGAACCACAGGCAUUGAAGUGGAGGGGAUCAAAAUCUUAAUAGAUGGGGAAGCUGAGAGAUAGUCAGAAUGCCACUGGGCUUCUCCAGUUUUACCUGCCAGAUCUCCGUGGGAAACUGCCAUCGCUAGUCCAAGUGCUAAAGGACUUUAUAUGAGAAGAAAGUUAUUACGAUAAGCUACUAGACAUUGGUUUUGAAGGCAUACACAUGAAGGAAAUAAAGCUGUGGAAAGAAGGACCAGUGAGAUGGCUCAGUGGGGUCCUGGAAGCUUGCAUGGCAGAGAAGAAAAUCUGUUCUGACCUCAUAGUUGCCAUCAGGUACAGCAAGGUUCCUAGACAUAUAAGGUCACCAUGCCUCCAAACAAGAAAUCGAGAAGAUGCUUACUGUGUUGGACAUGAGCGAAUAUCUGACGCAGCCAGACAUGGUGAUGCAGUUUUAAUGCCAGCACUUGGGAGGCAGAAGCAAGCAGUGAGUUCGAAGUCAGCUUGGUCUUGUAAGUACUUGUCUCAGAAGCAAACAAACCUGAUAUAAGCUACUUA
rnacentral:lncRNA from 1 species